UACGAAGGGGGGCUAGCGUUGCUCGGAAUCACUGGGCGUAAAGGGUGCGUAGGCGGGUCUUUUAAGUCAGUGGUGAAAUCUUGCGGCUCAACCGUAAAAUUGCCAUUGAAACUGAUUAUCUUGAGUACAGUUGAGGUGGGCGGAAUGUAUCAUGUAGCGGUGAAAUGCUUAGAUAUGAUACAGAACACCUAUUGCGAAAGCAGCUCACUAAACUGCAACUGACGCUGAGGCACGAAAGCGUGGGGAUCAAACAGG
rnacentral:rRNA from 1 species